AUCUAAAACACAGAUAUUUUGUACAAUUUGGAAAAUACAACAAAAGAAAAGAAGGAGUCAUCUUUACUUUCACCAUAAAAUACUACAUAUUUGCCAGUCAGUAGAAUUUUAAUGAUGAUUAAAACACUGACCAGUGUUUCAAGUAAAAUAUGGGCAACUAUGGAAGGUUCAUAUAGAAAUAGACAAUCAACAGGUAGUUCCACAGCAGAGAAGAACGGAGGCAUGGAAAAAUUACCAUUCAUUUUUACUUGUAUGUUUAUCUAAAAAUAUAUCAUUUAAUAAUGAAUAGGUAGUUGGAUCCAGUAACAGAAGGAAGGAGAGAAGGAGGGAAGGAGGGAGAGAGGAGGAAAUAAAGGACAAAAGGAAGAAACAAGCAACAUAGAUGUAAAGGGUGGCAGAGAAAAGUUGCUCAUGUGUUGGAGUCUGGGAAACAGAACAGGGGAAUAGUACAGGAAGAAAGAGAUGAGAAACCCAAGGCAUACUCCAUGACCCAUCCAUACACCUGGAAGUGUGCUCCACCAAUCACCUAAGAAAUCUCACCAUAUCCCAAAGCCAAGCAAGUUGACAUUCCGACUUAGCAGCCACAGAUGGAUUGGGGACAAGAAUGGCAAUGAAGUCUCAAGGAAAGCAGGGAGGAUGUUGUCAGACUACAGAUGUACUAGAUUCUUUGAUACUCUGGAUGGCAUCUAACUACAAGUAGAAGCAACAUACAAACUAUGCAGCUCCUACCUGAUUCUCUCAGUAUGCUCACUCUCCAGAUUCUCCUAGGAAGUACUUCUCAGAACCCCAGGAUCACACAGUAAGAAGCCCAAACUCAUCUAAAAAUUAAUGUUGCAGAUACUAUGUUCAAGUAAUGAACCUUCCAGGGAAAAACAACAGAGGAAACGUUCUUCGAUGAACAAGGCAGACAGUCCUUCAGAUUGCAAGCAUCUAUCUAAUCUUAGCCAGGGAAGCUAGUAUUCACACACACACACACACACACGCACACACACACACACACACACUUCUGCUUUCCUCUUAAUCCUUUCUUGAUGAAGUCAAGUGAAGCCUCACCAAACAGAUGACAAUAAGGCC
rnacentral:lncRNA from 1 species